rnacentral:rRNA from 1 species
UACGGGGGGAGCAAGCGUUGUUCGGAUUUACUGGGCGUAAAGGGCGCGUAGGCGGCCACCGCAAGUCGACUGUGAAAUCUCCGGGCUUAACCCGGAAAGGUCAGCCGAUACUGUGGGGCUAGAGUGCAGAAGGGGCAACUGGAAUUCUCGGUGUAGCGGUGAAAUGCGUAGAUAUCGAGAGGAACACCUGCGGCGAAGGCGGGUUGCUGGGCUGACACUGACGCUGAGGCGCGAAAGCGUGGGGAGCGAACAGG